rfam:Bacteroidetes bacterium 4572_117 ex4572_117_scaffold_6359, whole genome shotgun sequence.
AAAAUAGUGGAAAGAUUUGAUAGCUUGCAACCACCCCAAAAAAUGCUAAAUUAUUGUUG